rnacentral:ncRNA from 1 species
GGACCUUGUAGUCCCCAGGAUUGGCUGGGGAGCAUCCACCUCCGGACCUUAAUCCGGAGCCGCCAGGGGAG